ensembl:lncRNA
GGAAGACCUUUGUCCGCCAGCUCGCCGGUCUGUUUGAGGCUCCAGUCCAGCAGGAGGCGCUGGUUGGCUUUGAAGAGCUGCAGCUGGUGGGCCUCCUGCAGCUUCUCCUUCCUGGACAGACAGUGGAUCACUGAGUCCGGGUCCACUGUCCCCCUAAGUGUCCCCAGACAGACCUGAGCCCUCAGUGUAAUAUUGUCUUCAUCUCACCUGAGUUUCACCUCCCUCUCCAGAGAGGUCAGAGCGCUCUGCGCCUCCUUCUGUUUCUUCUUCAGCUCGUUGCUCAUCACCGACGGGGCCUUCAGGUGGUGAGAGACCUCCUUCUGCAGGUCCUGAGUAAAGACAGAGGGAGCCCCCGCCCCCACCUUUACUUCCUCAUGCUUCAUUUGGGGCAUAAACUCCAUGCAACAAGCCCCACCCCCCACACUGACCUUUGACCUCUCGUGGAUGACCCCAACCUCCCGCUCCGUUUCCUCGUGGCGUCUGAUCAGGUUCUCCACGCUGUCCACGUCCACGCCGCAGUCCUGACCCAGCAGCAUCUGCAGGGAAGGAGGAGGGGCUUAACUUUGCUGACCUCUGACCUCGACCCCCACCUGAGCCCCAAAACCCAAUCGGCUGUAGAACCAAAUACAUGUUCUAGUUGUUCUCCACUUCUAGUCAACAUGGUUCUGUUUCCAAAGAGCAGCGGUGCUUUUAUUUUGAAGGGAGAAAUCAAAAUCACAGAGAGAAGGAAGUUCUUCUGGGUCGAAGGUUAUCAUGUGACUGACCUUCUCAUUGGCUCGGUCUCUGACCUCCUCCAGCUCUCUGAUGAGGCCGUGCACCACCAGCGCCGCCUCCACCUUCCUCCUGUAACUGACCAGGUCUCCGUGAAACUUACUCCACCUGGAAGAGAACACAGCUGGUCGGCGCUCUGUCUCUUCUCCAGUCGAGCGGCCCGUCUGUUGAUGGCGGUGAUGUGGGCGUCGUCCACCGUCACCUCCUUCAGCACUUGGAUCGAUAUUCAGCAACAAGCAGCGUCCACAAACAUCAGGUUUCUUCAGCAGCUGAACUCCGUGUUCAUAAUCCUUCCCCACAUCUCCCACGUUGACCAUCACCUCCUGAGACACGGGGGGGGGGGGUACACACUGUGA